rnacentral:rRNA from 1 species
AGCGGCGGACGGGUGAGUAACGCGUAGGCAACCUACCUCUUGCAGAGGGAUAGCCUCGGGAAACCGGGAUUAAAACCUCAUAAUGCCAUGUUAAGACAUCUUCACAUGGCCAAAGAUUUAUCGGCAAGAGAUGGGCCUGCGUCUGAUUAGUUAGUUGGUGGGGUAACGGCCUACCAAGGCGACGAUCAGUAGCCGACCUGAGAGGGUGAUCGGCCACAUUGGAACUGAGACACGGUCCAAACUCCUACGGGAGGCAGCAGUGGGGAAUAUUGCACAAUGGGCGAAACCCUGAUGCAGCGACGCCGCGUGAGUGAUGAAGUAUUUCGGUAUGUAAAGCUCUAUCAGCAGGGAAGAUAAUGACGGUACCUGACUAAGAAGCCCCGGCUAACUACGUGCCAGCAGCCGCGGUAAUACGUAGGGGGCAAGCGUUAUCCGGAUUUACUGGGUGUAAAGGGCGUGUAGGCGGAGAUGCAAGUUGGGAGUGAAAUCCCGGGGCUCAACCCCGGAACUGCUUUCAAAACUGCAUCCCUUGAGUAUCGGAGAGGCAAGCGGAAUUCCUAGUGUAGCGGUGAAAUGCGUAGAUAUUAGGAGGAACACCAGUGGCGAAGGCGGCUUGCUGGACGACAACUGACGCUGAGGCGCGAAAGCGUGGGGAGCAAACAGGAUUAGAUACCCUGGUAGUCCACGCUGUAAACGAUGAAUACUAGGUGUGGGAGGACUGACCCCUUCCGUGCCGCAGUUAACACAAUAAGUAUUCCACCUGGGGAGUACGACCGCAAGGUUGAAACUCAAAGGAAUUGACGGGGGCCCGCACAAGCAGUGGAUUAUGUGGUUUAAUUCGACGCAACGCGAAGAACCUUACCAGGGUUUGACAUCCAACUAACGAAGUAGAGAUACAUUAGGUGCCCUUCGGGGAAAGUUGAGACAGGUGGUGCAUGGUUGUCGUCAGCUCGUGUCGUGAGAUGUUGGGUUAAGUCCCGCAACGAGCGCAACCCCUAUUGUUAGUUGCUACGCAAGAGCACUCUAGCGAGACUGCCGUUGACAAAACGGAGGAAGGCGGGGACGACGUCAAAUCAUCAUGCCCCUUAUGUCCUGGGCUACACACGUAAUACAAUGGCCGUUAACAAAGGGAAGCAAUAUCGCGAGAUGGAGCAAAUCCCCAAAAACGGUCUCAGUUCGGAUUGCAGGCUGCAACUCGCCUGCAUGAAGCUGGAAUUGCUAGUAAUCGUAGAUCAGCAUGCCACGGUGAAUACGUUCCCGGGC